CCCUUAGAUGUUCUGGGCCGCACGCGCGCUACACUGAUACGUUCAACGAGUCCAAAACCUUGAUUGAUAGGUCUGGGUAAUCUUUUGAAGACGUAUCGUGCUAGGGAUAGAUUAUUGCAAUUAUUAAUCUUGAACGAGGAAUUCCUAGUAAACGCAAGUCAUCAGCUUGCAUUGAUUACGUCCCUGCCCUUUGUACACACCGCCCGUCGCUCCUACCGAUUGGGUGUGCUGGUGAAAUGUUCGGAUCGGCCGUUUGUCGCGGUUUCCGCGUCAUGUGGCUGAGAAGUUCAUUAAACCCUCCCACCUAGAGGAAGGAGAAGUCGUAACA
rnacentral:rRNA from 1 species